rnacentral:tmRNA from 1 species
GGGGACGUCAGGCUAUCGACAGAAGCUUGAUUCUAGUUAUCACAAACCGUUUGUUAAGUUCGUUAUUCUUAACACACAUUAUAAGUGUAAAAAAUAAAAUCGUCGCUUUUGCAGAGCAGUUAAAAGCAGCUGUUUCAGCUCCACUUUAUAACUAUAACUUUGCAUAAGUUUAACUGAUUAAUUUCGGUUAAUGUCUUUUAUCCUUUUCCCUAAUGAGGGAUGUAAGACAGUCGUUAUUAGGGUAUGGUCUUCUAUCAGGUCAGUAGGGUAGUAGAUUGAAAAAUAUAACUGAGGAGAUGUACUUUUUGUCUAAUCUUUUAGGUAUGUCUUACUAAACAAGAGUAGAUAUGUUUGUAUAUGGUGCUAGAUGACACUUUUGGACAUGGGUUCAAUUCCCAUCGUCUCCACAU